UACGUAGGCAGCAAGCGUUGUUCGGAAUUACUGGGCGUAAAGAGCGUGUAGGCGGCUAGGUAGGUCCGUUGUGAAAACUCGAGGCUCAACCUCGAGACGCCGGUGGAAACCAUCUAGCUAGAGUCCGGAAGAGGAGAGUGGAAUUCCUGGUGUAGCGGUGAAAUGCGCAGAUAUCAGGAAGAACACCCGUGGCGAAGGCGGCUCUCUGGUACGUGACUGACGCUGAGACGCGAAAGCGUGGGGAGCGAACAGG
rnacentral:rRNA from 1 species